rnacentral:rRNA from 1 species
CGCGUAGGCGGGGAGGUAAGUCGGGUGUGAAAUCCCUCGGCCCAACCGAGGAACUGCGCCCGAGACUGCUUCUCUUGAGUCCCGGAGAGGAAGAUGGAAUUCCCGGUGUAGCGGUGAAAUGUGUAGAGAUCGGGAGGAACACCGGUAGCGAAGGCGGUCUUCUGGACGGUGACUGACGCUGAGGCGCGAAAGCGUGGGGAGCAAACG